GCCCAUCAGAGGGGGAUAACAUUCGGAAACGGAUGCUAAACCGCAUAGGUCUUCGAGCCGCAUGGUUUGAAGAGGAAAAGAGGCUUCGGCUUCUGCUGAUGGAUGGACCCGCGGUGCAUUAGCUAGUUGGUGAGGUAACGGCUCACCAAGGCCGUGAUGCAUAGCCGACCUGAGAGGGUGAUCGGCCACAUUGGGACUGAGACACGGCCCAA
rnacentral:rRNA from 1 species